rnacentral:rRNA from 1 species
GAUCCUGGCUCGGGAUGAACGCUAGCGACAGGCUUAACACAUGCAAGUCGAGGGGCAGCACGGGGUAGCAAUACCCCGGUGGCGACCGGCGCACGGGUGAGUAACACGUGUGCAACCAACCCCGUACCGGGAGAUAACCCGCGGAAACGUGGACUAACACCCCAUAACACCUUUCCCCCGCAUGGGGGGGGAGUUUAAAACCCCGGUGGUACGGGACGGGCACGCGCGACAUUAGGUAGUUGGCGGGGUAACGGCCCACCAAGCCGACGAUGUCUA